rnacentral:pre_miRNA from 1 species
GCUCUGACAGCGUUGCACUACUGUGCAGCCUGCAGCAAGCAGUGCAAUAGCAUUGUCAAAGCAU